CCUACAGGUGGCAGCAGUGGGGAAUAUUGGGCAAUGGGCGCAAGCCUUACCCAGCAAUACCGCGUGAGUGAAGAAGGUCUUCGGAUUGUAAAGCUCUUUGAUCAGGGACGAACAGAUGACGGUACCUGAAGAAAAAGCCCCGGCUAACUACGUGCCAGCAGCCGCGGUAAAACGUAGGGGGCGAGCGUUGUCCGGAAUGACUGGGCUGAAAGGGUGCGUAGGCGGCAGAAUAAGUUAGAAGGGAAAUACCCAGGGCUUAACUCGGGUGCUGCUUCUAAGACUGUUGAGCUUGAGUGCGGGAGAGGUUAAUGGAAUUCCUAGGGUAGCGGUGGAAUGCGUAGAUAUUAGGAGGAACACCAGAGGCGAAGGCGAUUAACUGGACCGUAACUGACGCUGAGGCACGAAAGUGUGGGUAGCAAACAGGAUUAGAUACCCGUGUAGUC
rnacentral:rRNA from 1 species